UACGUAGGGGGCAAGCGUUGUCCGGAUUUAUUGGGCGUAAAGAGCGUGUAGGCGGCUUGGUAGGUCCGCUGUGAAAACUCGAGGCUCAACCUCGAGAUGUCGGCGGAAACCACUUGGCUAGAGUGCGGGAGAGGAGAGUGGAAUUCCUGGUGUAGCGGUGAAAUGCGCAGAUAUCAGGAGGAACACCAAUUGCGAAGGCAGCUCGCUGGGACGUAACUGACGCUGAGACGCGAAAGCGUGGGGAGCAAACAGG
rnacentral:rRNA from 1 species